CCUACAACCUAUUUUUCACAUGUUAAGCAAGAAGUCUGCAUGUCAGUGUGAUAAAACUAGAGCUAUCUUGUUAUAAAUCCUAUCCAUUAUCACAGUUAAGGUUAUCAGCCUUUUUCUUUUAAUGUUUGUCAUUAUUUGUGUUUUAUAGCCCGCUAAGGUAAGAACUACUGGUUCUUACCUUAAGAACUACCCAAUAAAACCAAGGGUUUGCUUUCAUAACCAAACCUCAAAGAGAAAUGUUUCACUAGCAUCUCUAACAGCAAUAUUGUUAUCACAGGAGAACCCUCUAAGAAAAUGUGUUCUUGCACUGCCAAAACUACAAAUAAUGAGUUCCUCUGUAUAACUUACCUCAACCAUUAAAAUUUGCUCCUUUUCAUCAUAACCAGAAAAACAAUUCAUUUAUCUGGGUUCUCACCUUUGCUAUUCCAUUCACUAACCUGCUUUAUUUUACCAAAUCUGCCUCUGUAAACUUUUAAGUUAUUCAUGUGCAAAAUGUGAAACUCUAUAGGGCCUCCUUAUUUUAACAUUCUGAUCCUACAUAUAAGGAAAUUGUCACUGACUAUAGAUUAUCAUUUUAUCUAUGGUGAUUUAACCAAUGAAUUACAAAAAUAACAUUUAAAAAGUGGUUUUCUUUAAGCCAAUACUACUACUUAAUGCACUAUAAAGAGGAAGUGUAAUUUUAAAUUGUUACUAUGAAUCUUAAGUUGAUGAUAUAAAUUAUUUUUUCAGCAAACUGGAUGUUUGGUGUUCUCUGAAGUCAAUCACUCUAAAAAUCUUCAGCUUGGAGAUCCAGACAUUAACAGCUACAAAACUUGCUUUCUUCUGGCGCUCCCUAUUUAAUGAAUUUAUCUUGUUUUAGGAUUUUGCUUAUGCGCCUUAGUUAACCUACAAGUUGACCAUUUAAUUUCAUAAAAGCUCUAAAGGGAAAUGUGUAUUCUUCAUGACAUAUACACAAAGAAUAAUUUAGCAGAACUGUUCAUAAAUUGGUAAGCCCCCGUAAUACUCAUGUUUUUAAAAGCAUGGGGGUACAUAGGCACUCCCUAAAAUAAGCAAUUUCCAAGUUAUUAUUUAAAAUGCUAAACCUUACUUAAGCCAAAGUUUUUGCCUUUUACAAAAUACAGAGUAAUUUAGGUUUGUCCUGGUUUUCAAAACACAGAUAUUCCAAACUGGUAAACUGAAGAGCCAUGACAAUCACUAUCUAAUGAUUAUUUAGAAGGUUCCUUUCCAAAGUGUUAGUUCCCUGGGGGAACACUGGAAAGUAAAUCAGGUUAACUUCCAUCUAGAAUAUUAAUAUCCAAUGAAAUAAAAACACUGUCAACUUAUAAUUUUUUUGAGAUCCAGUUUGCACUAACCCUCCUUACUCUCAUUACUCACAAUUCGCCUAUACAUAAAUGUACUGUGGACAUAAGGUCCUAGUUGAGGCUUUUAGGCACUUUACUGUUUCUUCAAAAAGCUUCGUGUAUCCAACACUUAAUAUAGAAAAACAACGGCAUAUUAGAAGCUUUAUUUCUAACAUAUAUUCUGAAUACUUGAAGAACAGAACACUACCAAAGUACCCUGCAGCUAACAGUUAAUGUAGGAAGCAUUUUUUUUUUUAAUUCCCGACAGUAACACAUUCUCCAAUACAAAAACGAUUAGACAACUGAGCUACAAUUCUCUUUAAAAGCAAAAAUAAAAAUAAAAAGAAGGUACAGCAAUUCUAUUUUCCCCUAACAAAGACAGGAAACCCUAGCUGCUGCAUCAAAACAACAAAAAACUUGGGACUCUGAAAGCUGCCCUUUUGGGUGCGAAAUUACAGCGUAAGGAAAGGACCUAGAAAUAAACUGAGCUCUGCACGCUCCUGCCUCUCGCCUCGGGAGCACGCACCUCCCAGCCCCGCUCUCAGCAGCUCUCACUAUUUAAAGCCGGAUCUAGUGUUUAAAUGGAGAGGCGGUGACGUAGGCCUGAAAAGCACCUUCCCAUCCUGGCAGAGUCUAUAUUAGAGAGCGGCAAUGGCUCUAUAUAAACAGGGCAGCCAAAGGGAGGAGGACCACAAGGCUCAGGGACUGAAAAGCAGGGUAAGCGGCCGCAGCCAUGAUGGAUCGACCCGAGUCGCCAACGGAAUUUUGAGAGACGUGGAAUGUAGUCUGGACAAGUGAGGGAGUUUAUUUUCAUAAACCAAAAAGAAAUGUCAAAGUUGUAUGCAACUGAAAGCAUAUUUGGAAAAUAUCAAAGACGACUACCAUAGAGAGGAAAAGAUGCAACGUGCCAGGAGAAAGCAGAGGCCAUUAAUACUCAGAAAUGGGAAAUUGUCGUGUGCCUGGCAUCUAACUAACCACCAUGGAUUCCAUUCCAAUUUACUGUUUUCCAUUCCUCAUUCAGUUGUAAUAUGCCUUCAAUCACUAUAUAUGUGUGCCAGCCAGUUUAGUUUCAGAAAGAGACAUUUCCUGAUCUUGCACCAAAAUACUGGGUCUGAAUAAUUUGGAGACUACAGCUGUUUAAUUCACAAAACUGGAAAUCUGUGAAUAGAAAGCUCCUCCCAUGUAAGACUAGAUUUAGCAUUAUAUUUAAAUUGUUUUUAUCUUUACUUUUUCUUGGGGGAGGGGAGCUUAAAUAACUUUUCCAAUUUUAGCAGCUCCUUGUACCAUGUAUGAAACAUUUAUACUGGAUUUUCAGUCUGUGAACUCAUAUUUUGUAACAGCCGUAUACUUAAACAGAUACAUAUAGUGCUCUCUUUCUUUGUAAUGAAUCUUUUUUUUUUUUUACUUCAAAGUGUUUUGUACUGGAUGAUAAAAAGUUACUUCUUUCUUUUAAUGUUAAUAUUCUGCCUAAACACUGGAUAACUGCCAAACAAAAGAGGCAGUGGAAAAUUUUAGUGCAUAAAUUUUAAUAUACCAUAAACAAAAUGACACCAAACUUUAUAUGUCCAAACAUUAAAAUGUUUUACUGUCCAAAUGACUAUUUCAGCAACAAUGCCAAGAAAGAAAAAAAAUCUAAAAAGACUGCUCAUGGAAAUUAGCUUGAACUAAAAUCUCAUUAUGUAACUUACCUUCAGCUUCCAUGUUCUUAAAUAAUAGAUAGAUAGAUAGAUCAAUAAAGCUAAUUAUCUGGCAUAUUUAGGAAUCAUGCAGCCCUUAUAUACUCAAUAGUAUUGGGCACUUUUGGAGAAAACAGAAGUGAAGAGGGAAGUUCUUGUAACUCAAGCUUACCAAUCCUAAUGAAAGCCCCUAUUGUAUGGUGCAUAAUGACAGCAUUCAUUCAAGAUUUUAAAAGCACUGUAUUUCAGUACUACCAAAAAAUUAUAUUCAGAAUUCACAUAUUUUUUAGGCCUUUACAAAACAAAACAAAAAAUACCUGUUGAUUUCCACAUGCGCUGAUGUUUGAUGCAGUGUAUAAAAAGAAAUUACUGGCCAUACCAAUUACUUUUAUACAUAUGAGGAGAUUUUUUUAACUCUUUUUUUAAUGUUCUCUUCCUUCUAACUUACAGUUUAAAAUUGCUACUUCAUGUCUUAAAACAGCAACUUAGAACAGCAACUUGCAAUUAUUUUUUGUAUAUGGAAAUAUAAGCCAGUUAGUGGUGGCUUAGCAAAAAUAACAGUGUAGAAUCUGUGCAGUCAGGUUUGACAAUGCCAUUACCUUACUGUGAGACCUUCUGUAGUAACUAAACUUCUCUGUGCUUGAUAAGAUGAAAUAGUAACCACCACCUAUGGAUUGUUGGGAAGAUCAAAGGUACUAGAAAGUGCUUUGGUAAGUACUGGGUGGAUGUUUGUAUUAUUAAUGGUAAGUUACAUCAACAACAUCAAAGCAAGGGAAAGGUCUUUUUAACUCACAUUAUAGGAACACUCCUAUGAGAUUUUAAUAAUGCUGCCAGUGGUUGAUGAUUAAUUUAUCCACAAAAAGUUUGGCUAAAUUUUGAUAACUUAAGUGGUGAGAGUAUACAGAGUAAUUUUUGUAUGUAAAUAUAAUAUAUGCUGUUGUGAGAUAAGAUUCCUUAAGCUAAGGGG